AUAAGCGCACACGGUGGAUGCCUAGGCGGUCAGAGGCGAUGAAGGACGUGGUAGCCUGCGAAAAGUGUCGGGGAGCUGGCAACAAGCUUUGAUCCGGCAAUAUCCGAAUGGGGAAACCCACUGCUUCGGCAGUAUCCUGCAGUGAAUUCAUAGCUGCUGGAAGCGAACCCGGUGAACUGAAAUAUCUAAGUAACCGGAGGAAAAGAAAUCAACCGAGAUUCCCUAAGUAGUGACGAGCGAACGGGGAACAGCCCUUAAGCUGGAAUGGCUUUAGAAAAACAAUCUGGAAAGAUUGGCCAUAGAAGGUGAUAGCCCUGUAUUUAAAAGGGCCACUCCAGUGAAGACGAGUAGGGCGGGGCACGUGAAACCCUGUCUGAAUAUGGGGGGACCAUCCUCCAAGGCUAAAUACUCCUGACCGACCGAUAGUGAACCAGUACCGUGAGGGAAAGGCGAAAAGAACCCCGGAGAGGGGAGUGAAAUAGAUCCUGAAACCGUGUGCGUACAAGCAGUAGGAGCUCGCAAGAGUGACUGCGUACCUUUUGUAUAAUGGGUCAGCGACUUACUGUUCGUGGCAAGCUUAACCGUAUAGGGGAGGCGAAGGGAAACCGAGUCUGAUAAGGGCGCAUAGUCGCGGGCAGUAGACCCGAAACCGGGUGAUCUAGUCAUGGCCAGGGUGAAGGUGCCGUAACAGGUACUGGAGGCCCGACCCCACGUCUGUUGCAAAAGACGGGGAUGAGCUGUGAUUAGGAGUGAAAAGCUAAUCGAACCCGGAGAUAGCUGGUUCUCCUCGAAAGCUAUUUAGGUAGCGCCUCGGACGAAUACUACUGGGGGUAGAGCACUGUUAUGGCUAGGGGGUCAUCGCGACUUACCAAACCAUUGCAAACUCCGAAUACCAGUACGUACUAUCCGGGAGACACACGGCGGGGGCUAACGUCCGUCGUGAAAAGGGAAACAACCCAGACCCACAGCUAAGGUCCCAAAUUCACUGCUAAGUGGAAAACGAUGUGGAAAGGCACAGACAGCCAGGAGGUUGGCUUAGAAGCAGCCACCCUUUAAAGAAAGCGUAAUAGCUCACUGGUCGAGUCGGUCUGCGCGGAAGAUUUAACGGGGCUAAGCAGUGAACCGAAGCUUGGGGUGCAUAAAACUUGUUUUAUGCGCGGUAGAGGAGCGUUCCGUAAGCCUGCGAAGGUGGAUUGAGAAGUCUGCUGGAGGUAUCGGAAGUGCGAAUGCUGACAUGAGUAACGAUAAUGCGGGUAAAAAGCCCGCACGCCGAAAGCCCAAGGUUUCCUUGCGCAACGUUAAUCGACGCAGGGUUAGUCGGUCCCUAAGGCGAGGGCGAAAGCCGUAGUCGAUGGGAAGCAGGUUAAUAUUCCUGCACCUCGCGUGAGUGCGAUGGAGGGACGGAGAAGGUUAGGUGUACCGGGCGUUGGUUGUCCCGGGGAAAGGCGGUAGGUUUGAAUCUUUGGCAAAUCCGGGAUUCUUUAAGACCGAGCACCGAGACGAGCCUUUAUGGCGAAGUCACUGAUACCACGCUUCCAGGAAAAGCUCCUAAGCUUCAGCUCACGAAGACCGUACCGUAAACCGACACAGGUGGGUAGGAUGAGAAUUCUCAGGCGCUUGAGAGAACUCGGGUGAAGGAACUAGGCAACAUGGCACCGUAACUUCGGGAGAAGGUGCACCCUUUUUGGUGGCUCAUGCGAGCUAUAGCUGAAGAGGGUCGCAGAAACCAGGCCGCUGCGACUGUUUAUCAAAAACACAGCACUCUGCAAACACGAAAGUGGACGUAUAGGGUGUGACGCCUGCCCGGUGCUGGAAGGUUAAUUGAUGGGGUCAGCCGCAAGGCGAAGCUCUUGAUCGAAGCCCCAGUAAACGGCGGCCGUAACUAUAACGGUCCUAAGGUAGCGAAAUUCCUUGUCGGGUAAGUUCCGACCUGCACGAAUGGCGUAACGACAGCGGCGCUGUCUCCACCCGAGACUCAGUGAAAUUGAAAUCGCUGUGAAGAUGCAGCGUUCCCGUGGCAAGACGGAAAGACCCCGUGAACCUUUACUAUAGCUUUACACUGAACGUUGAGUUCGUCUGUGUAGGAUAGGUGGGAGGCUAUGAAACUGUGGCGCUAGCUGCAGUGGAGCCAUCCUUGAAAUACCACCCUGUCGUGCUUGACGUUCUAACCUAGAUCCGUUAUCCGGAUCAGGGACCGUGUAUGGUGGGUAGUUUGACUGGGGCGGUCUCCUCCUAAAGAGUAACGGAGGAGCACGAAGGUACGCUCAGCGCGGUCGGACAUCGCGCACUGUGUGCAAAGGCAUAAGCGUGCUUGACUGCAAGAUCGACGGAUCAAGCAGGUACGAAAGUAGGUCUUAGUGAUCCGGUGGUUCUGUAUGGAAGGGCCAUCGCUCAACGGAUAAAAGGUACUCCGGGGAUAACAGGCUGAUACCGCCCAAGAGUUCAUAUCGACGGCGGUGUUUGGCACCUCGAUGUCGGCUCAUCACAUCCUGGGGCUGUAGUCGGUCCCAAGGGUAUGGCUGUUCGCCAUUUAAAGUGGUACGCGAGCUGGGUUCAGAACGUCGUGAGACAGUUCGGUCCCUAUCUGCCAUGGGCGUUGGAAGUUUGAGAGGGGCUGCUCCUAGUACGAGAGGACCGGAGUGGACGAACCUCUGGUGUUCCGGUUGUCACGCCAGUGGCAUUGCCGGGUAGCUAUGUUCGGAAGCGAUAACCGCUGAAAGCAUCUAAGCGGGAAGCGCGCCUCAAGAUGAGACUUCCCGGGGCACAAGCCCCCUAAAGGAACCAUAUAGACUAUGUGGUUGAUAGGUCAGGUGUGUAAGUACAGCAAUGUAUUGAGCUAACUGAUACUAAUGAUCCGUGCGGCUUGACC
rnacentral:rRNA from 1 species